GCUCACAGCGAGUGUCGUGUGCUUCACAUGCACUCAUUUAGUCCUCACCACCUUCGGGGGUAGAUAGAGACGGGUUUAGUUCUAUAAAUUGCCUGAGGCGCCAGGUAAAUGGCCGAAUGGGGAGUCAAACCCAUGGCCCUUUACUCGGAAGUCAGAGGGAUUCAGAGUGCCUAUGAGGUCCCUUAGUAAACCAGCCAGUUUCCCAAGCUCGGACAAUUGGAGGAACUCGGGUGAGUUGUAAAUAGCUUUAGAGUAGGAGGCAGGCCCGCUCUCGGGAGAUCCGUGCGGAAAUGUUUCCGUAGGAGGUGGAGGGAACCCGGGAGCUUCCAAGGAGAUGGCGCUCUUCCCUGAUGGCUUCCGAGGGAGAGGGACCGUGCAGCACCAGCCGGCCAGGCGCACAGUCUGUCAGUACAGACUCUCAUUUACAGCCCCGAAGGACAUUCUCAGUUAAGGAUCCAGAAGCUCUGAAGACGCUGGUCAAGUGAAAUCACACCCUAUAACUCUACCAGGCAUGUGGCAUGGUUUCUGUAGCUGCCAGCCAUAAAACCAAGAGAAACUUUACAAAAACCUAUUGUGCAUCUGGAAAGGAGGAAGUGUGAGAGACAUUGGGAAUUCAGUGUGUCAGACAGAGCAGGCUCCUGACACGGGGGACAGUGGACCAGUCACAGCCUUUUCGAAGCAUCCCUGGAAGAGUUGGCGUGUGCGGUGGCAGUGUGGGUCAGACAUUAUGUACGGUCUUUGGUAUUUUAGGAGCACUGCGUGUGCCCUUUAGCUUUCUGAAAUAGCUUUCUGUUAGUGGACAGCUUUCAUCCUUGCACUAGGCGACAUAUCAGCUGCCAUCGCUGUCGCUGUCGGAACCGCGCUCACGUGCCGAGGAUAGGAGCAGCUUCUCAGACGUGAGCUGGGUGCGAAUCGAGUCUACUCCUAGUCUGAUUUUGUCAAAUUGUGGUUGAGCGGCAGACACGACUCUGGCGUGGACACGAGUUUUCUGCAAACAUCAGUGAAGGCGUUCUGUGAGAAUCAAUGAGCCCCAUGGCCUUUGCAGCGGAGAGGAGUGUCACUUGUCCAUUCUUGGAUUCUAGGGCCGCUCUCAGAUGCCUCCCCUGAUGUGUCCUCCCUGGGCUGGGAACGCCCCAGGGUAGCCACAGGUGUUUAACCCCUGCCGCAGUCUGCUCCAGCCUUGUCCCCAGCUUCCCGUCACCCCCUCAGCCGCGCUCUGGCCCGGGAGCCAACGCCACACACAGCCGGUUCUUGUGCUGCCCUUGAGCUGAGAAUGGUUUUGACAUUUUUCAAUGGCUGAAUAAAAAUGAA